rnacentral:rRNA from 1 species
GACGAACGCUGGCGUCGUGCUUAACACAUGCAAGUCGAACGGAAAGGCCCUGCUUUUGUGGGGUGCUCGAGUGGCGAACGGGUGAGUAACACGUGAGUAACCUGCCCUUGACUUUGGGAUAACUUCAGGAAACUGGGGCUACUACCGGAUAGGAGCUCCUGCUGCAUGGUGGGGGUUGGAAAGUUUCGGCGGUUGGGGAUGGACUCGCGGCUUAUCAGCUUGUUGGUGGGGUAGUGGCUUACCAAGGCUUUGACGGGUAGCCGGCCUGGGAGGGUGACCGGCCACAUUGGGACUGGGAUACGGCCCAGACUCCUACGGGAGGCAGCAGUGGGGAAUAUUGCACAAUGGGCGGAAGCCUGAUGCAGCAACGCCGCGUGCGGGAUGACGGCCUUCGGGUUGUAAACCGCUUUCGCCUGUGACGAAGCGUGAGUGACGGUAAUGGGUAAAGAAGCACCGGCGAACUACGU